UCAUUUCACUUUAAAAAGAAUAAUCAAAGGGGCAUUUUCGGAUUCAAAGAUAGUUGUAGCGGUAAAUUCAUGACCAUCAAGUUAUGGAUAAGCUUAACGUCACUAAAACCAGAGUCGCCACCACGCUUUUAUUGUUUCCAAAGGAAAAAGGAAAAGUACGAACAAAAUCCAAAGAUAAGAAGUUUUCAAAUCAAAACUAAUAAAAUGCCAGAGGUUACAAGUAAG
rnacentral:lncRNA from 1 species